UACAGAGGGUGCAAACGUUGAUCGGAAUUAUUGGGCGUAAAGCGCGUGUAGGCGGCUUGUUAAGUUGGUUGUGAAAACCCAUGGCUCAACCAUGGAAGGGCGUCCAAAACUGGCAAGCUAGAGUCCCGACGAGGAUGGCGGAAUUCCCAGUGUAGAGGUGAAAUUCGUAGAUAUUGGGAGGAACACCGGUGGCGAAGGCGGCCAUCUGGGAGGGCACUGACGCUGAGACGCGAAAGCGUGGGGAGCAAACAGG
rnacentral:rRNA from 1 species